rnacentral:rRNA from 1 species
UACGUAGGGUGCGAGCGUUGUCCGGAAUUAUUGGGCGUAAAGAGCUCGUAGGCGGUGUGUCACGUCGGCCGUGAAAACCUGCAGCUUAACUGAGGACGUGCGGAAGAAACUGCAAGGCUCGAGUCCGGGAGAGGGGGGUGGAAUUCCCAGUGUAGCGGUGAAAUGCGUAGAUAUUGGGAGGAACACCGGUGGCGAAGGCGGCCCCCUGGACCGGUACUGACGCUGAGGCGCGAAAGCGUGGGUAGCAAACGGG